rnacentral:lncRNA from 1 species
GUGCUUGUAAUGUUGGUUGUAAAAAAUUGGUAUACCAUAUUUUGAUAUUAGUUUAAUAAAAUGGUAGAGAUUAUAUUAUAAAAUUUGGCAUUAAGUUAGAAUGGAAAAUGAAUGAAGUUAUUAGUUAAUUUUGAAUGAUAUUAUGAAUGUUUAGUUAUUAAAUUACAAUGUUAAUUAAUUGGUCAUGAUUUAAGUAUAUUUGAGUUUAUAUUGUUUUU